GAUAAAUUCCUAUGGAUCUAUUGAUCUCGACAAACGUUUUGAUGCAUCAGGCUUUUGGGUGAACAGACUGUCAAUGGAGGGACAGAAAUCUUGGUAGCACUUUAUUUUACAGUCCUGUUUCUCAUGUACAUACUUUGUACUUAUUGUAGUAAUUACAACUAGAAUGUAAAGUUAGUGAACUUACUUUGAUGUUGGCUUGGCCUUGGGGCAAUAGAGCCACAAUACUUGUGUGUCCAACGUUCUUGAGCUGCCUUGCUGCAAAAAAAAACAAAAAACCUACAACUCCAUUUUUCUAUGGACCCUUGCUGUUUUCUGUUCCAAUAAACAGCCUAGGCUAUGACAACAGCUUAUGAGUCCUUAUGUGAGUACUAUUAUAUUGACUAUAUGAAAAUAGAUAACUAAUAUAGUUUCCCUUCUUCACUUUAUGUGUGAUAACUUGAGAAAUAUGUUUUCAAUUCUAUUAAAAUAAGAAAAAAGUAAUGGUACUUAGGAGAUUACAGUUUUUGCAUAAAUACUAUAUUGGGCUUUAUUAAAGUUUAUGAAAAUAGAAUGCAUGUAUAUGCAUUUUAUAUUUAUGCACAGAAAUGAAACAUUUUCAAAUCUUUGAACAGAUAUUGAAGUAUUUGCUAUCCUGUGGCGCCAUAUAUAAUGAUGUCAAAAUUACAACAGUUAUUGUUUUCAUAAUGCUUACUAUUGACAAUACAAAAUAUAGACAUACAAAAAAAAAAGCUGCCAAGACGAAUGAUUUGUCCGUUCUUGCACCGACAAGCCAGAAUCAGCGUCCUCUAUAACUCGAGAGAUCGAUGCAGGGUGUUAUUCUGCCCUAAAACAAAAAUAUCUCACAGGCACUCAUUUUAAUCUCUAUAAUUUGUUCUUCUAAUUGUUUUGUGCUGAUUCGCUGUAGUGUUUUAAUGUAAAACGCUGUAGUUCCUGUGCGUAGACUUUUUUUCCCCUUCCAGUGUUUAGAAAACGGCCGCCUUGCGCUGUCAAAUAGUCUUUCAUUUAGCUCACAAACACCUGAAUUUAGCUCUUGUUGUGUUCUAAUGGGUGGAUUGCGUGCAAUCGCUGUAAUAUAUUAUUUUUAAAAGCUCUUAGAAAACUAUAAAAAUGCUUUUAAUGUGAGCACGAUCGGACUGCACUCUCUGUUCGGAGAGGUGAUUUUUCUCUCGUCUUUCAUACUGAUCUCUGGCAAGACAUCAAUUAUUAAUGAGAUCUGACCCGAUAAUAAUAACAUAUUUUGUUUUAGCUUGUCAGUGUGAAUGAAAUGUGUAUUUAUUUGUCCGUUCUCUCGCCGAAAAGCCAGACAUCACCGUGUUCUAGAGCGCAGAGCACUCGAUGUGAUGUUCAGCCCUUAGACAAAGAAAAUCUCACAAGCACUCAUAAACACUCAUUUUCAUCCGUAUAAUAUGUUCUUCUAAUUGUUUUGUGUUGAUUCGCUGAAGUGAUUUCAUGUAAAAGGCUGUAGUUUCAGUAUGUAGACCUUUUUCCCCAUGCCAGUGUUGAAGUCUCGCGCUGUCAGAGAGGCUGCUGCAAAUGUUUAAGUUUUGUUCAUUUUCCACACUUCAACAGCCCCAAAACACCCGCUUUUACCUCUUGGUGUGUUCUUAUGGAUGGAUUGUGUGCAAUCGCUGUAAUAUUUUAUUUUUAAAAGGUCUUGAACAAGAAUAAAUUCGUUUGUUGUGAGCUGCUGUGAGACUGC
ensembl:lncRNA